GGCGUUCGAAUUGUAGUCUGGAGAAGCGUC
rnacentral:snRNA from 1 species